rnacentral:rRNA from 1 species
GACGAACGCUGGCGGCGUGCCUAACACAUGCAAGUAGAACGCACAGUUUAUACCGUAGCUUGCUACACCAUAGACUGUGAGUUGCGAACGGGUGAGUAACGCGUAGGUAACCUGCCUGGUAGCGGGGGAUAACUAUUGGUAACGAUAGCUAAUACCGCAUAAUAUUAAUUAUUGCAUGAUAAUUAAUUGAAUGGUGCAAUUGUACCACUACCAGAUGGAUCUGCGUUGUAUUAGCUAGUAGGCGAGGUAACGGCUCACCUAGGCGGCGAUACAUAGCCGACCUGAGAGGGAGAUCCGCCACCCUGGGACUGAGACACGGCCCAGACUCCUUCGGGAAGCCGCAAUAGGGAAACUUCGGCAAUUGGCGGAAGUCUGACCGCGGAACGCCGCGUUAGUGAAGAAAGUUUUCGGGUCGUAAAGCUCUGUUGUAAGGGAAGAAAGGGUGUGAGAGUGGAAAGUUCACGCUGUGACGGUAUCUUAACAGAAAGGGACGGCUAACUACGUG